UGGUGAGGUUGGGUAAUGUGUUAUGAAUAGUGGUGGUGAGGUUGGGUAAUGUGUUAUGAAUAGUGGUUGUGAGGUUGGGUAAUGUGUUAUGAAUAGUGGUGGUGAGGUUGGGUAAUGUGUUAUGAAUAGUGGUGGUGAGGUUGGGUAAUGUGUUAUGAAUAGUGGUGGUGAGGUUGGGUAAUGUGUUAUGAAUAGUGGUGGUGAGGUUGGGUAAUGUGUUAUGAAUAGUGGUGGUGAGGUUGGGUAGCAGGUUAUGAAUAGUGGUGGUGAGGUUGGGUAAUGUGUUAUGAAUAGUGGUGGUGAGGUUGGGUAAUGUGUUAUGAAUAGUGGUGGUGAGGCUGGGUAAUGUGUUAUGAAUAGUGGUGGUGAGGUUGGGUAAUGUGUUAUGAAUAGUGGUUGUGAGGUUGGGUAAUGUGUUAUGAAUAGUGGUGGUGAGGUUGGGUAAUGUGUUAUGAAGAGCCCCUCUAUGUACCGUAGGUACCGUAUGUGUCAUUGUCAUUCCUUCUUUUCUGUCCCUAGGUUUUCAGAAGACUCCGCCUCGGCCCUGAGCCCCCCCUCAGUUCGUUCCCUGUCCCCCUCCCCUAUCCACCACUCCCAGCCCGCCCUGUCCCUGUCCCCCACCCCUUCCUCCCAGUACCCCAACUGGAACCGUCCCCGUCCCCCCAGCCCUCUGUGGCUGCCGUACAGCCCCCUCCACGCUCCCACUCUCCCCUGUCCUCCCCACCUACUCCCCUUAUCCCACCUCCCCUAAACACCGGCCUGUGUAUCGCACCAAAGCCCUGGAGUUCCAGUUCAUUCCAAGUAGAGAGUCCAGGAAGGCAGAGUCCCACCACCUGCAGCGUAGGAGAGCCCCCAGUCCCCUCAUCUCCCCUCAGAGAGGCCCAAACUGGGUCCCCCCCCCCUCCUCCCUCCCCCUCCUCCCCCACCACACCCCUCUACAGCAGCCUCUAUGAGCUUCGCGGCUCUAUGACCCCGCCCUCACCCGCUAACCACAUGGGGGACCCCUACUUCUCCCCUUCCCCUCCUCUCUUCGCCCCCUCUGGUGCCCCUCCUCCCCCAAACGCCUCCCUGUUGGUGUCUCGCUCCCUCUCCCCACACACUUUUUAUCUGGUAGCUCAUCCCCUCCCCUGCACCCUCUCCCCGCUCCCCCUGCCUGAGCUACCCCCACCUCCCUCCCCCAGCCCCCUCCAAGCCCUUUGCCUCCAAGCCACUGCCUUAUUGGACCAAAUACGACGUGGCUGAUUGGCUGGGAUACCUGAACCUGGGCGAGCACAGGGAGCAUUUCCUGGACAACGAGAUCGACGGCACUCACCUGCCCUCCCUCACCAAGGAGGACUAUCUGGACCUGGGGGUGACGCGUGUCGGACAGCGCAUGAACAUCGCCCGCGCUCUGAAGAGAGUGACUGACAGGCUCUCCAGCUCUCCUUUUCCCAUUUCUGCUCUGUCACCACGAGGAAGAAGAGAUGAUGGGAGUCGGAGCUGAGAAGACAAACAGAAAGAGAAAGGAGGGGGGAUGGAGUCAGUGAGGGAACAGGAGAGAGAGAGGCCACAACUGCUGCUAUCCAUGAUGGAUUCACACAACAAAAGCAAAGGACCUGAUUUCACCCAGAGGGAGGACCGAUCAGGAAAAGAGAGGGGAAAUGAGGGAUGGAACAAGGGCUGACCAAUGCCUGGUACUCAGGGCCUGGUAGCUGACUCUCACAGAUACACUCGCAUGCACACAAAUACAGUAACACACACAAGCACUGACUCUAAUGUCAACACACACACACAAACACUACGAGGAUGGAAUGACUGAAUGUACAUUGAGGCAACAAAUAACAAUAUGAGUAAAACAGUGACAAAACUUUGCCCAAAAUAUUGAGAGAAACAAUCAAGUUGUUUAGCUUUUUCAUCUGAGCAGUUCUUAGUGUUGUUGGGGAAAGAGAGAACAAGGAUUGUCCUCAUUAUUAACACUAGUUAGAGCUUUCUCCACCUGUCU
ensembl:lncRNA